rnacentral:rRNA from 1 species
UACGGAGGGUGCAAGCGUUAUCCGGAUUCACUGGGUUUAAAGGGAGCGUAGGUGGGUUGGUAAGUCAGUGGUGAAAUCCCCGAGCUUAACUUGGGAACUGCCAUUGAUACUAUCAGUCUUGAAUACUGUGGAGGUUAGCGGAAUAUGUCAUGUAGCGGUGAAAUGCUUAGAUAUGACAUAGAACACCAAUUGCGAAGGCAGCUGGCUACACAAUUAUUGACACUGAGGCUCGAAAGCGUGGGGAUCGAACAGG